UUUAGAUUAAUAGUCUAUUACUUUGUAUUAGUAAUUUCAGGUUUUAAAAUUGAUGUAUAUAUUUUUUUAAAUGCUUCUGAAUUUACCCAUAUUUUUUAGCAAAUAUAUAUAAGUUCAGGGUAAAUUCUGCAAAUUUACCCUAUUUUCAGGCGACCGCUUAGUUGUCGCCUGAAGCGCCUAGGCGGCCAUGCGGUCAUGGCCAUCGCAUGACCGCAUGGCCGCCUAAAAAACCUUGAGAAAUACAGAUGUUAACUUUGUGGGAGGCUUCACUUUUGCGGCAAAAUUCCUAGGUUCACAGACCAAGGAAAACUGCUUUAUAGAAAUAGAGUUGAUGGGCAUCUCCAUCUCUUACGCUAUUUAUUUAAUUUAAGUGCUAUGUAUUUCCUGUUUUUAUUUUCCAUAUUAAUGGACUUUAACUUCAUAAAAAAAAGGACUAGGUGUCCAAUUGUCUAUUGAUCUAUAUUCUAUACUUCAUAGUCUAUUAUGCAUUUGCACUACACAUUUACUAAAUAGUAAGUAUUAUUUAAACUUUAUAUGAUUCAUUCAUAGGGAAAUUGCAACCAGCUAAAUAACUAGCUGGAUGUCAGGCAUUCAAGCCAUAUAAGAAAUUGACAAUGAGUUUAUUAAUCUCCUUAUUCUAUGUAACCUUUGGGUUAUGCUUUCUUCAAUAUAAAUGGAAUUUUAUCUUUAACAAAAAACAAUUUGAUUGAAAAUUUGAAUUAUAAUGAUGUCGUAUUUUGUCUCCUGUCAGUUGAUUACUAAUGGG
rnacentral:lncRNA from 1 species